rnacentral:tRNA from 1 species
AGGGCUAUAGCUCAGUUGGUAGAGCAACUCGUUUACCCGAGAAGGUCUACGGUUCGAGUCCGUAUAGCCCUA